CGGAAAGCUCAAGUGGUGUUCUAAUUGCCAUUUUUUCAAUGCCAUUUCUCAUGCAGGGACAAAAGAAAAUGGUAUAAUAACCAAAUAAACCAACUGAAAGAUAUAUUCACUUCCUAUUUUUGGAGUGAAGCUCUGGUAUCAUCUCAAGGACAGAAGGAUUCUCCCUUGCAAUGUUUAUCAAAAGUUGAGUUGUAGUUGCAUCAAACGAGAAGCCCCUUCCAACCAUUUCCUUCGUGAAAGAUGCCAUUUCACUAAUUUUAUUGCACUUGAGAAAUCCUUGCACAAUAACAUUGUAAGUUGCAUUGUUUGGAGGACAACUAUUGUCUUCCAUUUUUCUUAGAAUACCAAAAAACAGCUGUACUUGCAUCAAAAGAGAAGCCCCUAUCAGCCAUUUCCUUCAUAAAAGUUCUUAUUUCACUAAAUUUGCUCCACCUGAGAAAUCCUUGCACAAACACAUUGUAAGUGACAUGGUCUGGCAAACAACUAUUCUUCUUCAUUUUUCUUGGCAUACUUUUAGCUUCAUCUAACAAUCCUUGUCGACAAAAUCCAGUUAUCAUUGUAUUGUAUGUUCUCACAUCCGGAGGCAAUCCGAUCAAAGAAAGCUUCUCAAAAACAGAUUGAGCUUCAUCCAGUUUACCAUUUUUGCACAAUCCAUUAAUGACAACCGUGUAAAAUGCAAUAUUUGUAUUUUCUCGCUUUCUUUCCAACUUAUUAAAGAGUGACAUAGCUUCUUCAACAAGUCCGUACCUAAAAUAACCAUCAAGCACAGUGGAAUGAGUGCAUAUAUUAGGUUUCGGCCCCACAGAUAGCAUGUCGGCAUAAAUUUGUUUUGCAUCACCAAUUCUUCCAACUUCAAACAGACCUUGCAAGAUAGUAUUGUAUGUAACAGUAUUAGGUUUUGAUCCCCUUUGCGAAAUUUCACUAAGCAAUUGCAUAGCAUCAGCUAUUUUCUUUUUCUUGCAGUAUCCUUUUAUUAGUAUGUUAUAGCUAAUGAUGUCAGGCUCAAUGCCCUUGUUCAUCAAGAUAUCAAAAAUUCUCCUUGCUCUAUCCACUUGACCACGCAAACAAUAUCCAUCCAUUAUCACGUUGUAGGUGAUUAUAUUAGGCUCUACACCUUGACAAAAUCCAGUUAUCAUUGUAUUGUAUGUUCUCACAUUCGGAGGCAAUCCGAUCAAAGAAAGCUUCUCAAAAACAGAAUGAGCUUCAUCCAGUUUACCAUUUUUGCACAAUCCAUUAAUGACAACCGUGUAAAAUGCAAUAUUUGUAUUUUCUCGCUUUCUUUCCAACUUAUUAAAGAGUGAC
rnacentral:lncRNA from 1 species